UGGGGGAGCUACCAUGCAGUCGAGCGGUAACAGAAAGUAGCUUGCUACUUUGCUGACGAGCGGCGGACGGGUGAGUAAUGCUUGGGAACAUGCCUUGAGGUGGGGGACAACAGUUGGAAACGACUGCUAAUACCGCAUAAUGUCUACGGACCAAAGGGGGCUUCGGCUCUCGCCUUUAGAUUGGCCCAAGUGGGAUUAGCUAGUUGGUGAGGUAAUGGCUCACCAAGGCAACGAUCCCUAGCUGGUUUGAGAGGAUGAUCAGCCACACUGGAACUGAGACACGGUCCAGACUCCUACGGGAGGCAGCAGUGGGGAAUAUUGCACAAUGGGCGAAAGCCUGAUGCAGCCAUGCCGCGUGUGUGAAGAAGGCCUUCGGGUUGUAAAGCACUUUCAGUCAGGAGGAAAGGGUGUGAGUUAAUACCUCACAUCUGUGACGUUACUGACAGAAGAAGCACCGGCUAACUCCGUGCCAGCAGCCGCGGUAA
rnacentral:rRNA from 1 species